CCCUUAGAUGUCCUGGGCCGCACGCGCGUUACACUGAUGCAUUCAACGAGCUUAUAACCUUGGCCGAGAGGCCUGGGCAAUCUUGUUAACGUGCAUCGUGAAAGGGAUAGAUUAUUGAAAUUAUUAAUCUUGAACGAGGAAUUCCUAGUAAACGCAGAUCAUCAAUCUGCAUUGAUUACGUCCCUGCCCUUUGUACACACCGCCCGUCGCACCUACCGAUUGGAUGGUCCGGUGAAGCCUCGGGAUUGUGGUUCUUGCCGCUUUAUUGUGGCGUGACCGCGAGAACUUGUCUAAACCUUAUCAUCUAGAGGAAGGUGAAGUCGUAACA
rnacentral:rRNA from 1 species